rnacentral:rRNA from 1 species
UNGGAGAGGAAAGUGGAAUUCCUAGUGUAGCGGUGAAAUGCGUAGAUAUUAGGAAGAACACCAGUGGCGAAGGCGACUUUCUGGACGAAAACUGACGCUGAGGCGCGAAAACCAGGGGAGCGAACGGGAUUAGAUACCCCGGUAGUCCUGGCCGUAAACGAUGGGUACUAGGUGUAGGAGGUAUCGACCCCUUCUGUGCCGGAGUUAACGCAAUAAGUACCCCGCCUGGGGAGUACGACCGCAAGGUUGAAACUCAAAGGAAUUGACGGGGGCCCGCACAAGCGGUGGAGUAUGUGGUUUAAUUCGACGCAACGCGAAGAACCUUACCAGGUCUUGACAUUGAUGGACAGAACCAGAGAUGGUUCCUCUUCUUCGGAAGCCAGAAAACAGGUGGUGCACGGUUGUCGUCAACUCGUGUCGUGAGAUGUUGGGUUAGGUCCCGCAACGAGCGCAACCCCUAUCUUAUGUUGCCAGCACUUCGGGUGGGAACUCAUGAGAGACUGCCGCAGACAAUGCGGAGGAAGGCGGGGAUGACGUCAAAUCAUCAUGCCCCUUAUGACCUGGGCUACACACGUACUACAAUGGGAGUUAAUAGACGGAAGCGAGAUCGCGAGAUGGAGCAAACCCGAGAAACACUCUCUCAGUUCGGAUCGUAGGCUGCAACUCGCCUACGUGAAGUCGGAAUCGCUAGUAAUCGCAGGUCAGCAUACUGCGGUGAAUACGUUCCCGGGCCUUGUACACACCGCCCGUCACACCACGAAAGUCGGAAGUGCC